GGAGUUAGCCGGUGCUUCUUCUGCGAGUAACGUCACAGAUGUAAGGUAUUAACUUACACCCUUUCCUCUCGCUGAAAGUGCUUUACAACCCGAAGGCCUUCUUCACACACGCGGCAUGGCUGCAUCAGGGUUUCCCCCAUUGUGCAAUAUUCCCCACUGCUGCCUCCCGUAGGAGUCUGGGCCGUGUCUCAGUCCCAGUGUGGCUGAUCAUCCUCUCAGACCAGCUAGGGAUCGUCGCCUAGGUGAGCCUUUACCUCACCUACUAGCUAAUCCCACCUGGGCUUAUCCAUCAGCGCAAGGCCCGAAGGUCCCCUGCUUUCCCCCGUAGGGCGUAUGCGGUAUUAGCAGUCGUUUCCAACUGUUAUCCCCCACAAAUGGGCAAAUUCCCAGGCAUUACUCACCCGUCCGCCGCUCGUCAUCUUCAAAAGCAAGCUUUUGAAAUGUUACCGCUCGACUUGCAUGUGUUAGGCCUGCCGCCAGCGUUCAAUCUGAGCCAGAAUCGAACCCUGA
rnacentral:rRNA from 1 species